rnacentral:rRNA from 1 species
GACGAACGCUGGCGGCGUGCUUAACACAUGCAAGUCGAGCGAGGCCCCUCCUUCGGGGGGGUGUCCUAGCGGCGAACGGGUGAGUAACACGUGGGCAACCUGCCCUCAGCUCUGGGAUAACUCCGGGAAACCGGGGCUAAUACCGGAUACAACCUCCACGGGCAUCUGCGGAGGUGGAAAGUUUUUCGGCUGUGGAUGGGCCCGCGGCCUAUCAGCUAGUUGGUGGGGUAGUGGCCCACCAAGGCGACGACGGGUAGCCGGCCUGAGAGGGCGACCGGCCACACUGGGACUGAGACACGGCCCAGACUCCUACGGGAGGCAGCAGUGGGGAAUAUUGCGCAAUGGGCGAAAGCCUGACGCAGCGACGCCGCGUGAGGGACGAAGGCCUUCGGGUUGUAAACCUCUUUCAGCAGGGACGAAGCGAAAGUGACGGUACCUGCAGAAGAAGCACCGGCCAACUACGUG